rnacentral:rRNA from 1 species
CCCGCUGAACUUAAGCAUAUCAAUAAGCGGAGGAAAAGAAACCAACAGGGAUUGCCUCAGUAACGGCGAGUGAAGCGGCAAAAGCUCAAAUUUGAAAUCUGGCUCUUUUAGGGUCCGAGUUGUAAUUUGUAGAGGAUGCUUCGGCGUCGGCUCCGGUCUAAGUUCCUUGGAACAGGACGUCAUAGAGGGUGAGAAUCCCGUAUGUGAUCGGUUGCCCUUGCCAUGUGAAGCUCCUUCGACGAGUCGAGUUGUUUGGGAAUGCAGCUCUAAAUGGGAGGUAAAUUUCUUCUAAAGCUAAUACUGGGCCAGAGACGAUGGGCGCACAAGUAGAGUGAUCGAAAGAUGAAAAGCACUUUGGAAAGAGAGUCAAAAAGUACGUGAAAUUGUUGAAAGGGAAGCGCUUGCAACCAGACCUGCUUGCAGUUGCUCAUCCGGGCUUUCGCCCGGUGCACUCUUCUGCUGUCAGGCCAGCAUCAGUUCGGGCGGUCGGAUAAAGGCUUCGGGAAUGUAGCUCCUCUCGAGGAGUGUUAUAGCCCGUUGCGAAAUGCGGCCAGCCUGAACUGAGGUCCGCGCUUCGGCUAGGAUGCUGGCGUAAUGGUUGUAAGCGGCCCGUCUUGAAACACGG